UUUGAUAUUAUAUUAGUCAUGUGGCAACUAAUUUCAUAGGGGAGCAAGAAAAUGACCAAGGGACUAAAGCAAUCUGACUCUAGAAUAAACAAGAUGCGAUAUUCGAGGACGAAUGAUCCCAAAUGGGGAGAAUGUUAUGCUCCAUAAGUUUACAUGAUUAAAUUUUCGAUAAUUACAAACUUAAUGAUGUAAUUUAAUUGAUCCAUAGGUGGAUACAGACCUCCACGAGGACGAGAAUAUUUUGGGAUGUGAUAACAUAUACUAGAUCUCGCGUGUGGAGUUAAAUUGGAGAAUUAAUUAAAAUGGCUGGUGGGCAUAUUGCAAAUUUUUGUUUGGUAAUUAUGUGAAAUGGAUUAAUAUUAAAGGUGAAAGAAAAGGGUCCAUGGCCCAACCCAAUUUCUGGCUCACAAUAUGAUAAGUUAAGGCAACAGAACAUUGCCUUUCAUAGGAAAAUACCCUAAGUUGCCGCAGCCACCCGGUUGAGUAAGGGAAGCUUUCUGCAACUCAAGGAAUGCCAAAUACUUACAAUUCUUCUUUUAGGAUUUAAAUAUGGGAGCUUCAUAAAGGGAUUUAGGGAUGGAGUUUUGGAAACAUACCAUGUGCUUUAGUUCAUUAUGAAAGAAGUAAUUACAACUCCAUCAAAAGAAAAUGAUCGAAGCAAUUGCAAAGGGUAUUUUGGGGUUAAUCUAUGGUGGCAUUAAGAGGAAAUAUAGCUGGUAUUGUAUUCGUACCAGUGGACUAAUUUGUUUAGAGAUGUUAUCGGAGGAAGAGGCGCCUACUCUGGUCAACAAAGGAGGAUAAGAGGAAUCUUUCGGUAUUAGCCGCAAUUAUAAGCAUUGACAUCGUGAAUAACAUAUCAGAUGACUUGGUGAGCAGCGAGUUUGAGCUGGGUAGCUUUGAGGUAAGUUUUAAGGAUUACUCUCCUAAAAGGAAUUCCAUUAGAGCGAACAUGAUUCUAUGUAUUCGAUGAAAUUUCUAAGCCAUAUCUGUUUAUGUUCCGGUACUUAGUUUACUCUAUUCUUAUUUAGCAUAACUUUAAAUGCAAUGUGUCAGUCUUAUAUAUGCUUAUAUGUAUUAUUAUUUGUUGUGUGCCUUUGGUUGUGAUAUUUAUAUUUUGUUUCAACACUCAUUUAUGCGUUAAUGUGAUCACAUUCAGAAGGGAGAGCUAGCCGACCUCCCCUUGCGUGAGUGCUUUGAUGCCAGGGUUAGCUAUUCCACGCUCGUAGGGGCUAUUAUGUGCUGGGGAGAUAGGCCGACACUCCCCCGUGCGUGUUACUAGAUCUCAUGUACGUAGGACCACUAUGUAUAACUAUUUUCCAGAAAUGUUUUUUCUUUGAAACUAACUUAGUUUGCAGCUUCAGUUUCAUGAGUUAACAGUUAUAAACUCAGGUUCUAUGUUUUCAGUUAUCAACUUAAAAUUUUGCUUAUAGUUUCAGUUUCUAGCUCAUUUAUUGUUUACAGAAUUUAUUGCCAUGAUAUUAUCUGAACCCCCUUCCUUUCAUUUUAUGAUUUUCCCAGAAAAUCUUGCUCUAUCUUUUAGGGGUAGCCAAUGAGACUUACUGGGUAUCCUUUGGUGGUACUUAGCCUGUUUGGGCCUGCCACGUUGUGUGGCAGGUGUUGAGAUCGUAGGUGACGAGAUACGUGACUAGAGACAGACUCCGUGGACUCAGUUGGCAAGCCCUGUUAGUUUUUCAUUGGUGGUCGGAUUUCUUCAGCUUAUGUUAUUUUUUUUGGCACAUUAUUUAUUCAAUGCGUUAUAGU
rnacentral:lncRNA from 1 species